rnacentral:rRNA from 1 species
UACAGAGGGUGCAAGCGUUAAUCGGACUUACUGGGCGUAAAGGGUGCGUAGGUGGGUGAAUAAGUUAGUUGUGAAAGUCCUGGGCUUAACCUAGGGAUUGCAAUUAAGACUGUCCAUCUAGAGUUGAGUAGAGGGGAGCGGAAUUUCCGGUGUAGCGGUGAAAUGCGUAGAUAUCGGAAGGAACAUCAGUAGCGAAGGCGGCUCUCUGGACUCAAACUGACACUGAGGCACGAAAGCGUGGGUAGCGAACAGG